rnacentral:rRNA from 1 species
AUGAACGCUGGCGGCGUGCCUAAUACAUACAAGUCGAGCGAACAGACGAGGAGCUUGCUCCUCUGACGUUAGCGGCGGACGGGUGAGUAACACGUGGAUAACCUACCUAUAAGACUGGGAUAACUUCGGGAAACCGGAGCUAAUACCGGAUAAUAUAUUGAACCGCAUGGUUCAAUAGUGAAAGACGGUUUUGCUGUCACUUAUAGAUGGAUCCGCGCCGCAUUAGCUAGUUGGUAAGGUAACGGCUUACCAAGGCAACGAUGCGUAGCCGACCUGAGAGGGGGGCGGGCCACGCGGAACGUGAGACAGGGUCGAGCCUCCAGCGGGGGGAAGCAGGAGGGAUUCUCCCGAAAGGGGGGAAGGCCGGAGGGAGAAGCGCCGCGUGAGUGAUAAAGUUCUUCGGAUCGAAAACCUCUGUUAUUGGGGAAAAAAAAAUGGGUAAGUAACUAGGCGCGCCGUGAGGGUCCCUAAUCAGAAGGCCACGGCUAACUACGUG